AACGCACCUUGCGCUCCUUGGUAUUCCUUGGAGCAUGCCUGUUUGAGUAUCAUGAAAUUCUCAAAGUCAAUCCUUUUUGUUAAUUCAAUUGGUUUGCUUUGGACUUGGAGGUCUUUGCAGAUGUCACAGUCUGCUCCUCUUAAAUUUAUUAGCUGGAUCUCAGUAUAACACUUGGUUCCACUCGGCGUGAUAAGUAUCAUUCGCUGAGGACACUGUAAAAGGUGGCCAGGAAAUUUACAGAUGAACCGCUUCUAAUAGUCCAUUCACUUGGACAAAUUAAAUUUAUGAUCUGAUCUCAAAUCAGGUAGGACUACCCGCUGAACUUAA
rnacentral:misc_RNA from 1 species